CCUACGGGAGGCAGCAGUAAGGAAUAUUGGGCAAUGGACGCAAGUCUGAACCAGCCAUGCCGCGUGCAGGAAGACGGCCUUAUGGGUUGUAAACUGCUUUUGUGAGGGAAAAAACUGGGGUACGUGUACCUCAUUGCUUGUACCUUACGAAUAAGCAUCGGCUAACUCCGUGCCAGCAGCCGCGGUAAUACGGAGGAUGCGAGCGUUAUCCGGAUUCAUUGGGUUUAAAGGGUGCGCAGGCGGACUAAUAAGUCAGUGGUGAAAUCCCAUAGCUUAACUAUGGAACUGCCAUUGAUACUGUUAGACUAGAGUGUAGAUGACGUAGGCGGAAUGCGACAUGUAGCGGUGAAAUGCUUAGAUAUGUCGCAGAACACCGAUUGCGAAGGCAGCUUACGAAACUACAACUGACGCUCAUGCACGAAAGCGUGGGGAUCAAACAGGAUUAGAUACCCUGGUAGUCCACGCUGUAAACGAUGAUUACUCGCUGUUGGCGAUACACAGUCAGUGGCUAAGCGAAAGUGAUAAGUAAUCCACCUGGGGAGUACGACGGCAACGUUGAAACUCAAAGGAAUUGACGG
rnacentral:rRNA from 1 species